GGAAUAUUGGUCAAUGGGUGAGAGCCUGAACCAGCCAUGCCGCGUGCAGGAUGACAGCCUUCUGGGUUGUAAACUGCUUUUGUCAGGGAAGAAAACGACUAUGCGUAGUCAAUUGCCGGUACCUGACGAAUAAGCCCCGGCUAACUCCGUGCCAGCAGCCGCGGUAAUACGGAGGGUGCAAGCGUUGUCCGGAUUUAUUGGGUUUAAAGGGUGCGUAGGCGGGCCUUUAAGUCAGUGGUGAAAGCCCAUCGCUCAACGAUGGAAUUGCCAUUGAUACUGAAGGUCUUGAAUUCAGUUGAGGUAGGCGGAAUUUAUGGUGUAGCGGUGAAAUGCAUAGAUACCAUAAAGAACACCGAUUGCGAAGGCAGCUUACUGGGCUUGAAUUGACGCUGAGGCACGAAAGCGUGGGGAUCG
rnacentral:rRNA from 1 species